rnacentral:rRNA from 1 species
CCUACGGGUGGCAGCAGUGAGGAAUAUUGGUCAAUGGACGCAAGUCUGAACCAGCCAUGCCGCGUGCAGGAAGACGGCCCUAUGAGUUGUAAACUGCUUUUGUACGAGGGCAAACGCAGAUACGUGUAUCUGUCUGAAAGUAUCUUACGAAUAAGGAUCGGCUAACUCCGUGCCAGCAGCCGCGGUAAUACGGAGGAUUCAAGCGUUAUCCGGCUUUAUUGGGUUUAAAGGGUGCGUAGGCGGUCGGAUAAGUUAGCGGUGAAAUCCAGGGGCUCAACCUCGGAAUUGCCUCUGAUACUGUUCGGCUAGAGAGUAGUAGAGGUAGGCAGAAUGUAUGGUGUAGCGGUGAAAUGCUUAGAGAUCAGACAGAACACCGAUUGCGAAGGCAGCUUACCAGGCUACUUCUGACGUUGAGGCACGAAAGCGUGGGGAGCAAACAGGAUUAGAUACCCGAGUAGUC